CUGGGAGGGGAGAUGUCCUGGAAACGCGGUUGAGUGAAAAAAUGCAAGUACACCAUCUGCCUCUGUUUUAAAGCAGUCUAAUUUCCAUGUCUUUGUUAUAAAUGUAAGCUUUCCAAGAUAUAAUGAGAGCGCCGUUUACCAAUAUGGUGGCCACGACGUCACGUGAUAAAUGAAUUUGCUUUAAAUCUUUGUAAACUAACCAUAUUUUACUUAUGUUAACUCAGACGAAUGUCUAAUCACUUCGAAAAAAAAGCCCUGAAAUGAAUUUUUCCUGUGUCCUCUUUCUUAGAAACGUACGUGUUCAGGGGUUCGACUGUCCUGCAUGAUUUCCUGCCUGGAUUAUCGAUGACGGCAAGAGGGAUAGCAAAAGCGUACAACGAAGACCUAUACGAAUUUCUUUGCGUGGAGGCAGUCGCUUUAAAGAGUUAAAUAAAUCUCUAUCAAACAUGAA